rnacentral:rRNA from 1 species
AGCGAACGCUGGCGGCGUGCCUAACACAUGCAAGUCGAACGGUUCUGUUGGGGGCUUGCUCUCGACAGAGUAGUGGCAAACGGGUGAGUAACACGUGGGUAAUCUUCCUUCGAGUGAGGAAUAACUUCGGGAAACCGGAGCUAAUACCGCAUAACAUCUUGGAACGGCAGUUUCAAGAUCAAAGGGGGCGCAAGCUCCCGCUUGAAGUUGAGCUCGCGUCCUAUCAGCUAGUUGGUGAGGUAAUGGCUCACCAAGGCUCCGACGGGUAGCCGGCCUGAGAGGGUGGCCGGCCACACUGGGACUGAGACACGGCCCAGACUCCUACGGGAGCAGCAGCUAAGAUAUUCCGCAAUGGACGAAAGUCUGACGGAGCGACGCCGCGUGGAUGAAGAAGGCCGAA